rnacentral:rRNA from 1 species
AUUGAACGCUGGCGGCGUGCUUAACACAUGCAAGUCGAUCGGUAACAGGUGUAGCAAUACAUGCUGACGAGAGGCGGACGGGUGAGUAAUGCUUGGGAAUCUGCCUAUUAGUGGGGGACAACCCGGGGAAACUCGGGCUAAUACCGCAUACGCUCUACGGAGGAAAGCCGGGGACCGCAAGGCCUGGCGCUAAUAGAUGAGCCCAAGUCGGAUUAGCUAGUUGGUAGGGAACGGCCUACCAAGGCGACAAUCCGUAGCUGGUCUGAGAGGACGACCAGCCACACCGGAACUGGAGAC